UCAUUAAUAUUUUAAGUUAAAAAAAUGGAUGACUUCUAAUUAUCAGAUGCAAUAUUUUGUUUAAUGAA
rnacentral:tRNA from 1 species